rnacentral:rRNA from 1 species
GUGGGGAAUAUUGGACAAUGGGCGAAAGCCUGAUCCAGCCAUGCCGCGUGUGUGAAGAAGGUCUUCGGAUUGUAAAGCACUUUAAGUUGGGAGGAAGGGCAGUAAGUUAAUACCUUGCUGUUUUGACGUUACCGACAGAAUAAGCACCGGCUAACUUCGUGCCAGCAGCCGCGGUAAUACGAAGGGUGCAAGCGUUAAUCGGAAUUACUGGGCGUAAAGCGCACGUAGGUGGUUUUGUAAGUUGGAGGUGAAAUCCCCGGGCUCAACCUGGGAACUGCCUCCAAAACUGCAUGACUAGAGUACGGUAGAGGGUAGUGGAAUUUCCUGUGUAGCGGUGAAAUGCGUAGAUAUAGGAAGGAACACCAGUGGCGAAGGCGACUACCUGGACUGAUACUGACACUGAGGUGCGAAAGCGUGGGGAGCAAACAGGAUUAGAAACCCCAGUAGUCC